rnacentral:rRNA from 1 species
UGGGGAAUCUUGCGCAAUGGGCGAAAGCCUGACGCAGCAACGCCGUGUGAGGGAUGAAGGCCUUCGGGUUGUAAACCUCUGUUGAAGGGAAAGAAACUUUUUAGAGCUAAUAUCUCUAGAAAUUGACGGUACCCUUAGAGGAAGCACCGGCUAACCACGUGCCAGCAGCCGCGGUAAUACGUGGGGUGCAAGCGUUGUUCGGAAUUACUGGGCGUAAAGCGCGUGUAGGUGGCUAUGCAAGUCGGAUGUGAAAGCCCUUGGCUUAACCAAGGAAGUGCGUCCGAAACUACUUAGCUUGAGUGCGGGAGAGGAGGGUGGAAUUCCCAGUGUAGAGGUGAAAUUCGUAGAUAUUGGGAGGAACACCGGAGACGAAAGUGACUCUCUAGACCGCAACUGACACUAAGACGCGAAAGCGUGGGUAGCAAACAGG